AUUGAACGCUGGCGGCAGGCCUAACACAUGCAAGUCGAGCGAGCGGCGGGCGGGUGCGUAAUGUCUGGUAAAAUGCCUGUUGGAGGGGGAUAACAACUGGAAACGGUAGCUAAUACCGCACACAAUCAGAUGUGCCCAGAUGGGAUUAGCUAGUAGGUGGGGUAACGGCUCACCUAGGCCAGGAUCCCUAGCUGGUCUGCGAGGAUGAACAGCAACACUGGGACUGAGACACGGUCCAGACUCCUACGGGAGGCAGCAGUGGUGAAUAUUGCACAAUGGACGCAAGCCGGAUUCAGCCAUGCCGCGUGAGUGAAGAAGGUCUUCGGGUUGUAAAGCUCUGUCAGCGGGGAGGCGUUACCCGCAGAGGAAGCACCGGCUAACUCCGUGCCAGCAGCCGCGGUAAUUC
rnacentral:rRNA from 1 species